CUAAGUUCCUUCAUAGUGAAAUUGAUUGCUGCCUUGGACUGACCGUAGGCAGAGAAUCCAGUAGCACGAAAGUCGCCCAUUGAGCCGCAUUCACUGGAAGUAAAGAUAACCUGUCUGGUUUUUUUCUUUGUCAACAACGGAUAAAAAGCUUUGAACACAUGGAUAGGUCCUAAAACAUUGGUUUGAUAAUGAGCAUUCCAAACUUCUUCAGGUGCUUCCAUAACUGUAUAGUAAGAUUGACAAAUACCAGAGUUCAACCAAAGAACAUCAAUUCCAUCGACCGCCUUCGCAACGCUUUGAGCAGCUUCAUUGGCACUCUGCUGAGAUGUGACAUCUAAUUCAACAGUUUUAACAUUAGGAUGAGAUUUGCUCCAUUCUUGUAAUUCAGUAGCAGCUUCGGGUUUGCGAGCACUCGCAAACACAGUCGUUCCUUCUCUACUGCUUAACUCUUUGACAAGAGAGAGUCCAAUACCACGAUUUCC